GACGAACGCUGGCGGCGUGCUUAACACAUGCAAGUCGAGCGGUAAGGCCCUUUCGGGGGUACACGAGCGGCGAACGGGUGAGUAACACGUGGGUGACCUGCCUUUAGCUCUGGGAUAAGCCUGGGAAACUGGGUCUAAUACCGGAUAUGACUCCGCGGUGCAUGCUGUGGGGUGGAAAGCCUUGUGCGGCUGGAGAUGGGCCCGCGGCCUAUCAGCUUGUUGGUGGGGUGAUGGCCUACCAAGGCGACGACGGGUAGCCGGCCUGAGAGGGCGACCGGCCACACUGGGACUGAGACACGGCCCAGACUCCUACGGGAGGCAGCAGGUGGGAAUCUUGCGCAAUGGGCGAAAGCCUGACGCAGCGACGCCGCGUGAGGGAUGACGGCC
rnacentral:rRNA from 1 species